AGAACGAACGCUGGCGGCAGGCUUAACACAUGCAAGUCGAACGCUCGUAGCAAUACGGGAGUGGCAGACGGGUGAGUAACGCGUGGGAACAUACCCUCCGGUUCGGAAUAGCUCAGGGAAACUUGGAUUAAUACCGGAUACGGCUGAGAGGCGAAAGAUUUAUCGCCGGAGGAUUGGCCCGCGUUCGAUUAGCUUGUUGGUGAGGUAACGGCUCACCAAGGCGAUGAUCGAUAGCUGGUCUGAGAGGAUGAUCAGCCACAUUGGGACUGAGACACGGCCCAAACUCCUACGGGAGGCAGCAGUGGGGAAUAUUGGACAAUGGGCGCAAGCCUGAUCCAGCCAUGCCGCGUGAGUGAUGACGGCCUUAGGGUUGUAAAGCUCUUUCGGCGGGGAAGAUAAUGACGGUACCCGCAGAAGAAGCCCCGGCUAACUUCGUGCCAGCAGCCGC
rnacentral:rRNA from 1 species